rnacentral:rRNA from 1 species
AGAGUUUGAUCCUGGCUCAGAACAAACGCUGGCGGCGUGCCUAACACAUGCAAGUCGUACGAGAAAGUCGGCUUCGGCCGAUAAGUAAAGCGGCGCACGGGUGAGUAACGCGUGGAUAAUCUACCCUUUAGUCAGGAAUAACCUACCGAAAGGUGGGCUAAUACCUGAUAACACUAUUUUCACCCCGGUGGGAUAGUCAAAGAUAGCCUCUAUUCAUAAGCUUUCACUGAAGGAUGAGUCCGCGUACCAUUAGCUAGUUGGCAGGGUAAUGGCCUACCAAGGCUCUGAUGGUUAGCUGGUCUGAGAGGAUGAUCAGCCACACUGGAACUGAGACACGGUCCAGACUCCUACGGGAGGCAGCAGUGAGGAAUCUUGCGCAAUGGGGGAAACCCUGACGCAGCAACGCCGCGUGAGUGAGGAAGGUCUUCGGAUCGUAAAGCUCUGUCAGGUGGGAAGAAACACAUGGGAGUUAACAGCUCUCAUGCUUGACGGUACCGCCAGAGGAAGCACCGGCUAACUCCGUGCCAGCAGCCGCGGUAAUACGGGGGGUGCAAGCGUUGUUCGGAAUUAUUGGGCGUAAAGAGCGUGUAGGCGGCUGGAUAAGUCAGAUGUGAAAGCCCUGGGCUUAACCCAGGAAGUGCAUUUGAAACUGUUCGGCUGGAGUAAGGGAGAGGAAAGUGGAAUUCCUGGUGUAGAGGUGAAAUUCGUAGAUAUCAGGAGGAACACCUGUGGCGAAGGCGACUUUCUGGCCCUAUACUGACGCUGAGACGCGAGAGCGUGGGUAGCAAACAGGAUUAGAU